CUGUAGCUCUUUGCUUCUCUUGGAGAGCUUGGCUCUUUGGACUCAGUAGCUAAAAAACUUCCUGCAUUUGAAGUUCAUCUGUAUGAUUUCCUCUGGGUGAAGCAACACAGCGUAGGACCUUCCAGGAGCAAAUUGGAGACAAGGCCUGGAAGUUGGUCAGGGAUUUGGCACUGGCAGGUGUAAAGCUGACAAGUUUGACAAGGUAAGGCCUGCCAAUGUAUGGCAGGAUGAGGGGGUGUGUGCCUAGAUGGUUCAAGAAGGUGUUUUUCUUGUAGUGUUUGGUUGUUUUUCUGUGGUAUUUUAUUUAUUUAGCAAAAUUCAAAUGAUGGUAUGGUCUGUCAUAAUCUUUGGGGAUGGGGGGCAUUGAAUGUAGGGUAAUUAAGUUGCCUCUGUUAUUCUGACAGUGCUUUAAACAAUUUACAAAGCAUAUUUAAAGCAACAAAAUUAUAAUUUCAUCAGUGUUAGAAGGCUGAAGCCUGUCAGUCCCAGGUGAAUUCAGGCCCAGUGCUCACAGUGUGGGCACUGGUGACAUGUUCCAAGCACGGCAGGAAGUUACUGAGAAGCUCUGAAGGCUUAGUGGCACUUCUGUAUCUGAAGUUUCUACAGUGUAAUUCAGUAACCACUGAAACACCCUCGGAUGCCUUCAGGCUGAGCUUUACAGUAACACUUAGUCCUGACAAGAGGAACACUGGUGUUGGUGCAAUUUCAGUGUUUUCCUUAUUCCCACUGCUAAACCCAACAAGACAGGCCACACUGAAACAGGAUUCCAUUUGUGUUCUUGUUAACUGCUUGUAAAAUAUAAAGCGAUUACCCCGGCAGAUGAAGCACCCGUGCUUUCAGGAACAGCAAAUGCCUGCAGAGCGAGGCCGGGACAGCUGCCAUGAGCAACAGCAGCCUCCUCCAGAGUACCCUGGGACUGCCCUGCUCUCCUGGCAGCUGAGUUUUGUUUUGUGGGACUGCACUGCUCUCCUGGCAGCUGAGUUUUGUUUUGUGGGACUGCACUGCUCUCCUGGCAGCUGAACUGUUUGCUGCUUGGAGCCAACACGUGCGUUCCCAGACUUGCUACAAGGUUCUGCCAGUUCUCCAGUGGGAAGCUAAGGCACAGUCCCCCUUUUGUUCAACAUGGACAUCACCAUGUUGUGAUUGGAAACUCAAGAGCUGGAGCCAGUCUUUCCAGGGUUGAACUGCCUCUUGUUCAAGUCAAACCUUUCUCAAAUGCUUCAGCUGUAAAUGGUCUUUUAGCAAAUACAACUACAAGUGCAUUUUUACAGGAAGAUAGUGAAUUACCAGAAGUCAUUUGGGUUUGAGUGGUUGUUUCUUGCUCUCAGUUUCUUGAACUUUACAGUGUUCUCAGGGCAAGCAGCAGAGGGGCCUUAGCAAUGGCACUGUUGUCUGGACAUGGAGGCUGCAGCAGGAGGACAUGGUGGGGAAGGAGAGCUCAUGACCACUACACUAACAGCAACUCACCUGAGCAGGUCAGUGAGAGGUAUCCACAAUCCAGAAACAAACAAUACAGGACAAGUCUGAUAUCACAAGUUUAGAGGUUGUUUCCAGCCCUCACUCCUGCUCUCUUCCCUUCUCCUGUGCUCAUGCCUUUUUGCUUUUUUUAUGUCACUUUUAUGAUUUAGUCUUCUUCUUACUCGCACACUUGUCAUUAUCCAUUGUUGCUAUUGCACUUUUCUUCACAAGCUUUUUUCUUGCUUGCACUUUUUUUUCCUUUCUUGCUCAUGCUUUGUUAUUUGGUUUAUGAUUUAUUUUUUUUUUAAAUUUCACCCCUUGUUUGUGCUUUUCCUUUGCUUUUUUCUUUGCACUUGUUCUACCUUCCUUUUCUCUUCCUACUGUCUUUUACUACAGGUACAGACUUCAUUCUAGAAAACCUUCUCAGAUUUAUGCCAGGUCAGUUAUUAAUCAUUUACAGGCCUCAGGUAAUGACCAAAACCACUAGCAAACAAUUGUCACAGCUUUGACAGAAGAACAAAUACAAGCAAAAUCUGGCAUUUCCCCAACUGGAAACAAUGACUGCAAAAAUUCAGUGGAAACUUGAAGGAAAGAAAGGAAUAUCACUGUCCAGAUAUAAUACUGUAUCCAGAGAUGCUGUGGUGCAGUAUUGGCUUCAAGUUAUCCAGGAACCCACUGCAUUUGCAGAAUGGAUAUGUGCACAAACAGGAAACCUGCCCCUCUCCAGGAGGUGCUUUUCUUCAUAUUUCCUGGGGAGGCUGGUCCUAGGGCUACUGGGAAAAGCAAGGAAUUCCUUAUAAAUGUAAGAUCACAGGGUGGAAAACAACCCAUUAUUUAUAAAGCUGGCAGCCAGCAGCAUUCAGUGGUGGGAGGUUCUAGGGGUGGGGGUCUGGUGACUUCUGACGCUGCACACAUGAAAACAAAGCUUGUGGCUGAUAGAUUUGUUUUUAUUAUCAUAGAACAGAUGAACUAAAAUAAGCCAACAAUAUAAUUUUAUGCCAACAGCCAUCUUUCUAGCACAGGCGGUGACUGACUCAGUAUACCCUUCUCCCCCUUCCCCGGGCCUCUGUUCAAGGGAAAGCAAACGGUGGUGACUCUUGCACAUGGUUCUGGACUGCAGUGAUCCUACUCCUGUUACCUGUGCAGGUGUGCCUGGGAAAAGAAGAGGCAGGGGAGCAGAGAAAAGAGUAUAUAUGUUGUAGGAGCAAUAAGCAGAAAGGUUUGUGGAUCCUCUUGCACGUUCACACCUUGUGACCGAGUAGAUGGGACAACUGGAGAAUCUUGCCCACUUUCAACACGUAGCAAGCCCCGAGUUGCUACUCUAGUCAAGCCAGGAGUUUCUUCCCAUUCCAAGCUAACAAAGGUCAAGAUGCACUCAGUAGGGGAGCUUUUGGCAGGGUAAGGGGCAGUCUAUGUAAAACCAAACCAAAAAACCACC